GUAGUUGUACACGGAGCUGGGUGAGGCUGCGGCUCUGGGCAUUUCUGGGGAGGAGUUCCAUGGCUUUCCACAGACUCUAACCACCCUGCAGCGAGCCGCAUGCUAUACGGGUUAAACUCGGGGCAUAUCGAACGAACAAUUCACUUCACGGAAGACUAGCAAUAACCAGGACACCUGCGCUAUUGAUCAGCUAUCUCAACACCAGAGAGACCCACCAGCACAAGGGGCAAGAAUUGGCCAGGAGGCGCGCGGCGCUGCGCCCUCACCGCGUCCAGACAGACCCUUGAACUUCACCGCCAAAAAACGCACCGCUCCGCAGACCCGACCCGGGAGAGGGGUUUAACUUCCCCUCACCUUUCCCAUCCCUCCUUCAUUUCCAAGGACAUACUCAAAGGAAACUGGCAACACUCGGUCUAGGGUUUCGCUCCUGCCCUCGGCGGACACCGAAACCACUUCUCCCAGGGAAGUUAAUUAAAGGAACCAUUAAUCCGCCCAAAAAUCCAAAACCUACCCCCAAAGCUCAAGAGCUCUGAAAAGAGAUCGAGGGCGCCUCUGCCGAUCUUGAACAUCUCUGCUCGUCGCUGGGGCUUAGAGGUGGGCAGGGGGUGCCAAAGGGGCGCAGGCAAGACCCGGCCAGAGGGUUAGACGCCGGCCCCCGUUCCGAGGCGGCCCAGUCUACACGCCAGCGACGCCGGCUGAGCCGGGCUUGGAGGCAGCCAGGACCGGCUCUUCAGGGAAGGACAUCCCCACAACCAGGACCCCUGGCAAAGAGGAAUUAAAGACCCAGUUGUGUUGUGAUGUUCAUUAUUCAGAUCUCGGAGCGCUCACGGAUCUCUUGGAUGUCCCCUGCCAGCUCAACUGAUGAGACUGCUACUUUAUGUACCACUGCUUGAAAAAGAAGGGAAUCUCCUAUUUCUCACACAGGAUAACAGUUGAGAGUCAUUGCCACAAUAAAACAGACAUGUUAGCGGUCAGGUUCAUAUAAGGACUAAGCGGCCCCAUGAAUCACAUAGGACUGGCUAAUCCUAGGACACUCCUCUCUGUGGUUUGCUAGGUAGCAGAGAGGGGAAGCUAAAUAGUAGUUUCUAAUAACAACUGGGAAGGCUUUUUCUUUUUAAAUAAAAAUGGAAUUGGCAUAAUUGGGAAUGAAGAUAAAGCUUGGAACCAAGUUAGAGAAGGCAAAGUGUACGUAGAAGAGCUGUUACAAAUAUAAAACUUGGCUGCGUUCUUUGUGAAGGCUCAAACUUGGGAAGGUUAAAUACCAUAAAUUUUUUCAUUUGUUCUGUAUUUUGAUCCUGAAAAGAAAGCUGGCUUUGCCCAUGUAUUACUUUAAAAACUUGGGGGAAAGGAGAAGAAAGGGACAAGUUUUUAAAAACUGUUUGAAAACAUUACAGCUGAAAGAAGCUACAUAGGAGCUGGGUAGAGAACCUAGUGACUAAGAGAAUGAGGAAUGCCGAGUACGCAUCCUGUGGGCGGGGCUCUACCCUUGCCGCUUUCAGGUACGGGAAUCUUGACACCAAACAUGUUCUCACAUGCAUGGUGGUGUGAAUGAUUUGAAGGAAUUUGUAGUUAGUAUAAGGAAGAACCUGGAACAUGUUUAAUGAUUUACCCCAGGAGAUCAUAAUAAACAAUGUAAAAUUUGGGAGACAUCUCUGAGUUCCCUGGCUCUUGCAGAAUUCAGCUGGGCAGUCAGAACCAGUACUGUGCCCUCGGGUAUGUCUCUGGAAGUCCCAGGAAGAUAAGAGAUAUCUAGACAUGAGACUUGGUUGAGGCAACCCUACUCACCAGCUAUGCUCCCAAUCAAAAUGCCCUCCUUCUAAUUCUAUUAGAAUUAUUCCCACACUUACUGCAUUCUCAUAUUCUCAGAAGCACGCACACACACACACACAAACAACCUUCCAUGCUUCCAAGUUUAAAUGACUCCUGUUAACUCCUAGUUGCCUUUAAGGGCUCAGCCAAAACCUCACCUUUUCAGGGGCCCCCUUGAUUCCUCAAACAUGGUCAGGGCCACCCAUGGACUCUGAUACUGCCCUAUAGACCUCUCAGUGGCACUCAUAGCACUUCCUUUGUCCCCAUCUCAGCGUGUUUUGUCUGAUCCCACAAUGCAGGUAUGGAUGCCCGUCCACCCCAAUAUACCUCUCACUGGAUUCUCUUGGCCUUGCAGGCAUCUUGGGGUGGUCAGUGGAAGGAUCCCCAGAAGGAUGUGGAGGCUGUGUGCCUCCUAGGUGGAAGUGGGAAUCAAGCUGGGCAUUGGAACCAUGGGGAUUGGGCUUAGAGAAGAAAGUCGCUGAUUUUGUGAGCUCAACCACACAGCACCAUCUUCCCAGCAGUGAUAAGGCCUCUGAUGGAGAGCUGCUAAGGUGCUGUGAAGUCCAGACACUAAGCCUGUGAACUUGGGUCCCUCAAUGGGGGCUUGCCAUAGUCAAGCAUAGAAGGAGGGGCUCCUCCACAGAGGCCAGCCCCUGUGGGAGCCACCCAGUCUGAGGAAUAGGGCUCUAUCUCAUUUUCCUGGAUGACAUCACCCAGGAAUAGCAGGGAUCAAUGGAUGAACAUCAACAGCCUGGGCUUCUCAAGCCAGAUUUAAUUUUUCAAGCCAGAUUUAAAAGGUCUUUUCUUUCAUCUAAAUUUAUAACUAUUAUGCCCAUAGCACAAGUAUAAUUACAUAAGGACUUCCAAAAUUGUUAGUUUUCAUGUCUACCUUCCUCUGUUAGAAGUGUAUAUACCUAGCACAAAGUCCAGAAGGUGCUUGAUUCUCAAUCAAUAUUCAUUCAAUGAAUGAGUGAACUAAUCCUUGAAACUCCUUAAAUCUUCCAAUAAUCCCAAGCCCUUUUGUUGGAACCUUUGACCAAAACAAAGUCAUAAAACCACCACUACCCCACAUGUCUUUGGGAACUAGUCUAUGUUAGCCCUGCAAGUCUGAAAGCUUAGCUUUGUUUUGUUUUGUUUUUAUUUUUAAAUUUUUUUUUUCCUACAGCGUCACUCUCAGGAUAUGACAGCAUCACUUUUGAAAAACAGGUUGUUGUUUUUUUUUUUAAAAAGGUAAGAAGACAACAAGGAGUCGGCCUCACACACUAUGGAUUAGAUUUCUUAAUCAAGUGUUCACCUUCCACCUCUCGUGGUCCUACCAUAUCACCCUUUUCUCUUGUGUUUUUCCAGAUUUAACUGCCUGAUCAAAUAGUUUUACAAGAAUAAACUCAGGAAACAGGUUGAGAAAUGAGCAGCUGAGACUGGAGUGUUCACUUUGCAAAGAACAUACUACGAAAAGAUCUGCACUCUAGGAGGUCUCAGCUGAUGAGGAAGAUGCUAGCACAGUGUCCUAU
rnacentral:lncRNA from 1 species